AGGGUUGGUAAGACCCAGAUGAGGACCUGAAGCAGAAACUGCUGCACAGGCUGCAAAUAACCUGAAUAAAAACACAACCAAAGAAGAAAGUGCUUGGCUCUUCAGAAUAUGGUAUGGUUUUGACCAUAAAUAUUUAAAGCCCAUUCUCACCCAUACUGGGCCGCCACUUACGACAACCUUACCAAGCUGGUGUAAUCCUGUGGCCAAAUUGCUAACUAGUCCUAGAGCAUAUGUGGAGCAACUGAAGGAUGAUGAUGCUGAUUUUAUUGUCAGUAAUGAUGAACUGACUCAGAAUUAUGUAGCCUCAGAUCUUUCACCCAUGCCACCACAAAGCAAAACAGAUCUCCCCCAUGCUGGAAGCAAAGAAAAUAUAUAUGAAGGAGAUCUUGGCUUAGGAGGGUAUGAACUCCAAUCUGAACCUGCUCCAAGCCAAUCCCAGUUGGUUCCUCACGCUGUAGUCCGGUAAAAAUGUAUAUCAUAAGCAUGAGGAAGAGCAUGCAGAGUUAGCAAGAAGCUUGAAAAUGUAUUAAGGGCAUCAACUGAAAAGAAGUGAAACCUUACUGAAUCUAUCCCUGGAGCCUGAAGGAAUGAGAAUUUAUUACCAUCCCAUAUAUAUAAUACAGUUACAUUUAAUUUUUUCUGACAGUGGCAAUUUUUAAUAAUGGAAUCAAAGGCACUAUCCCUCUGCUUCUGGGACAUUAUAUAUGCACUUCUCUGAUCAUGCUUCAUCGUCUGCAUUUCUAUCUCACAUACAUACAAAGGCCUUUGUAUAUUAUUCUUCUAAUUAAUUCAAGAGAGAGGGAAGGAUGGGAAUUUAGUGAACUUGUACAUGCUCCAAAGAUCACAGACACUGUGACACUGUUCUCCUCUUGCCAUCACGCCUUCUUAUGGGGCAAAGUGGACAGGGCUUUUGGACAAGAUUACUUUUCUCAUUGUCUAGUUGCAAAGCUUCCCAAGCCUUUCUGGCAGUGGCAGUUUGCCAGGAAAGGGGUUAAUAAUGCAGCACAUAAAACUGGGCAUUGAUAUACAAGCUACUAAAGUCUAAACAGAUCAAUAACAGGAGUGUUCUUGUUGUUGGUGGUGGUGUUUUUACUGAGCAAGGUUGCCAGUAUAGAUAGCAAUUAUGCUUUCUUCCCCAACCCAUUUGUUGUUGCUUUUGUGUGUCUUCUGUAAUACAUUAAUAACCCAAAGUCUAUGUAUUAGCUAGAAGAAAUCAUUUAUCAGAUUCCCUGAUGAAAUCCAGGGUGAGAAGGAGACUUAAUGAACAUAUCUAUAAGAUUUUUAAAAAUGUGUGCAAAAACAUUUUUUAUAUUAUAGAGUUUUAAAUCAUGCAGUAAGAAAUAAGUCCUAGACACAUGGCCACUCCGCAGAUAGUAUGGAAUAAAAGUCAUCUAUCAUGGACUUCAUUAUUGCUCAAAUCCAUGUGCUAGUGAAGUUUGUGAUGGUGCUCCAAAGAAUUUUAUUGACCUACUUGCUUAUUGCACAAUACAAUAGGGAUGCAGAAGAGGUGUUGGAAAGUACUAUCAUGGACUUGUUAAAUAAAUGUUGUGGGGGGAAACUACUGGAUGGUAGUUAAGAGGUUCAGACUGGACAUCUGUUUCCAGACUGUUUCUUGCAGUCUUUUUCACAGUCACAGCAAGUGCUUUCUACAGAAUCUAUUAUUCCAUCUAAUUCAGCACUAACUGGUGAUGGCUUUUCCAUGUUUUAGAUCUGCCUAAAGGUGGCAGGGAUUGAACCUCACACCUUCAGUAUGCAUUACAUCUGUUCUACUACUAAGAUAUGGAGCCCCACUAACUAUGCCACACAUCAUAUUUUCCACUUAAGAAGAGCAUGGGUUCCUGGCAGCUGUACAGCCAGACAUAUCAGGAACUGAUGCCCAGGGAGAGAGGUCAUCCAGAUGACAGAACUAUGAAACUGUGACACAGUUUUUCACUUCUCUAUGGGUGCUGUUGUUCACCAUGUGUUCCAUUUGUUUGCUAUUUAUUCCAAUUUUAGAAAAACAUCUACUAGUGUUUGUCUCCUCUGGAUAUGUCAUUUUAUUGCCAACCUGGUUGUUCUCACUAUAUUCUUCUCCUCCACUGCCAUAUAUAACCAGUCAUACCUUAUUUCAUAUCCAUAUUUUUACUCUGUUAUAUUAUUUUAGCUUAUAUAGCAUAUGUAUACAAUUUCUCCAAAAAUUACCUUUUGUACUGGGUGAGUGGACAGAAACAGAGGAAAUUAAGAAGUUCCAGUCAUGCUCCACCUACUGGUAGGGAUCAGAAAGCUGUCAGUUUCCCUUUUUCUCAUUAGUUCUUUCUCUGUUCAGUCUGAAGAAAUUUAAUAAAUUUGGGUUGCUGGGCUUUUUUAAAAAGAAAUAUAAAAUUAUCCACAUUUGCAUUAGCCAUGUUCAACAGGUACAGCUAUUCCCAGUAUAAAAAAAGACUACAUUGUACCCAUCUAUUAAUUGCUAUUGUGUAUCAUCAAGUCAUUUCCAAUUGAUGAGGGGUUUUCUGGCAAAGAUUUGUUCAGAGAGGAUUUGCCAUUGCCUUCCUCUGAGAUUGAGAGGGUGUGAGCCCAUGGCAGAACAGGGAUUUGAACACUGGUCUCCAGAGCCAUCAUCCAACAUUCAAACCAUUGCGCCAUGCUAGCUCUUAUACUUACCUGUACAUAAGUAUUAAAGAUGGGAGAUGAUCUCUUAGGAAAAAGAGGUACUAACAUAGAGGUUAAAAUCUGAAUCUUUAAUUAUUAAGCAUUCAAAACCUUGAGUGUGGAUGAACAAAAAGGGGGUGGAAAUGCACAGUUUGGUAUACUCUUACAAAAACCAACUGAAAUAUUGGCUACCUUUCUACUUGGGACUUACAUCUUCAUAAUUGGCGUAAACAUGUAUGCAAAACUGAAUUGAAUGGUUUUGCAAUAUCCAUAUUCACAUAGAUGAUGUUGUGAUAUUAUAAUGCACAGGCAUCUGUUACAUAACAGAGUGACUAAUACACCAUGGCCCGAUGUGCAAUGCACACUGAUGCAUCCCAGGGCACACUCCAGUGUGCGUGUGGAUACUGAUUAGAAAGUGCCAGAGCACAGCAGGAGCACCUAAUACCCAUUGCAGCAUUGUUGCCAGUGUCUGGAUGAGCAUCUUCACAAUUCACUAACAGGGUUUUGUUAGAUUUCUGAAACAUAACUACAGAGUCAUAAAGUUACAAAAGAAAGAGUGUGAUGCAGAAUCUUGUCCAAAAAUUUAUCCACCCAUAUCUAUAGGUAAUAGUCCUCCUCCUUCCAAUUUAUGUACAUUUUGUGAAGUCGAAGGCUUUCAUGGCCGGCAUCCAUGUUUUGUUUUGUUUUUGUGGGUUUUUCAGGCUAUGUAGCCAUGUUGUAGAAAAUUUUCUUCUUGACGUUUCGCCAGCAUCUGUGGCUGGCAUCUUCAUGUACAUUUUGUACGUUUUGAUGGUAACUAUUUUCAGUACAAAUAGUUUGCAUAGGUUAGCUCCUGAUGUUGUCUCAAAUACAUGUCCAAGUAGCUGGCCUACCUGCAUGACAACCCUCUUAUUCUCUGACACAUAUCUGGAAACACAAAAAUUGACACCAGUUCAACAGGUUUAUUUGUGUAGUGGUUGUUUUGUGUUUUCCCAUUUACAUUUAUAAACCACCCUGAGGGUGCACUAUAUUUUAAGGUUAAAUAAUUAAGUACAUUAUCUGUCCCAUGGAAAAGAGACCUCGUGUGCUUUCUCAUGGUAUCACUACAUUUUUCUGCGCAUGAACUAUGCAUGCCACUCCAGUAUGAAAAUCUGUACAUUACUAGUGCACUUCAGGCGAGACAAAUGGCCACACCCCAGCAUCCCCAAAGAUAGUCCAUGCAGAUCUUUAGUAACAUGGGGACACAACCUAACACUAGAAAAUCAGUACACUUAAUAAAAGCUAACUCGAUGAUUAGUGUUUCUUUUCCUCAACUCAGGUAUGCAGCCUCCAAUUGCUUGAUGCAUAAUUAUGAAGUAGUUAUUUCUUCAUAAUUUAAGUCAUAAGGAGGUGGAUUUUAUUAAACAGAAAGCUUAUGAAACUCAUAACCUUAGACAACAUCUGAAAUCACUAUGAAUAAAUGUCAAGCCAUCUUGAUGAAACUGUGAAUGAUUGUAAAGUAAAAUGUAUUUUGUUCCCAUGACAUGUUGAAAUAGCUACAGAAUAUAGUCAAGUUUUAAUCUUGUUUUUCCAAGUAUAAUUAACUGAAUGUACUACUGCAGCAACUGUUUCAAGUAUAAAAUGAAAACAAGAACCCCAA